GUAGUGAGUUGUCGUCUAUGGAAAAAGAUGGAUAAAGCAAAAAAUCUAACAAUAGGGGCUAACAAUAGAAAAAGAAAGAGGAAAAAGGAGAUAGCAUGUCAAUGGAUGCAACAGCAGUUAAACAAGUGGAUGGUGAAAGCCAAGACAACAGGUGUGAGGAUGUUGGAUCAGGAAGACAGGGGAAGGCGACAGUGGAGAAGAACACAGGCACGGAGUGAAUGAGACAGACAUGAGGUCGGUGAUGGCAUCACGUAGAGAUGAGACUAGUGAUGACAUCAGGUAGGAGUUCUAUUAGUUACACCACACAACACCAGUAUGGUUUGAAGUUCUGUUGACCAACAUAUUCACGGUGUCGUUUUUGGGGAAAAAAUAGU